AAAGAAUCACUCACAUCUGCAUCCAAAUCCAAAAUCAGUAAACACCAAGAAUUAUGUUUUUUUUUUAAAUCAAACUGCUAUGCAUCAGCAACGGCAUCAAGUGAGAUGAAGAAGAAUGUGUGCUCGCGAAUUUUACACGCAUUGUAAGAGUUUCGAAGCUUACCCACAUAAUACGCCAAGAAAAAUCAGAACGAAAUUAGUGUAGCCAUUGUGAUUUCAAAGUGAAGAAACGCACCGAUGAACGGAUAAAGAAAUCUUACUCUCAAUAAGACUCUUUAAGAAAUAACUCAACGAAAUAAUUACUUAAUUGUUGUUUACUGAAAACAAACUGAAGAGGUUUUACUUUUUUUAUAUUCAAGAAAUAAGAAUUAAAAAUGAAUACAUCUUUAGAAAAUAAA